rnacentral:tRNA from 1 species
UCCCUGGUAGUCCAGUGGUUAGGACGUGGCACUUUCACUGCAGUGGCUCAGACUCAAUCUCUGGUUAGAGAA